rnacentral:rRNA from 1 species
AGACAGAGGAGGCGAGCGUUGCUCGGAAUCACUGGGCUUAAAGCGGGUGUAGGCGGCCGCGCAAGUGUCGUGUGAAAGCCCACGGCUCAACCGUGGAACAGCACGGCAAACUGCGUGGCUUGAGGUCGUCAGAGGUGGCUGGAAUUCUCGGUGGAGCGGUGAAAUGCGUAGAUAUUGAGAGGACCGCCGGAGGCGAAAGCGGGCCACUGGGCCGGUUCUGACGCUGAGACCCGAGAGCGUGGGGAGCAAACAGCAUUAGAUACCCCGGUAGUCC